rnacentral:lncRNA from 1 species
CCCCAUUUCAGAUUGGAAAUAACGAGAGUACAGGGCUGUGUGUAUCUGAUUCUGCAAUGCGUCUGCCAUGCCUGGGGAGCUGUUGGGAGAGGGAGCACCAUGAAGUUCACCAGCAGCCAGAAGAAGAUUCCUGAGAGGCCAAGCCAAGUGCUACCUAGAGAGGCCAGCAUGUGGGCUCCACAUUUCUGCUGAAGACGCCUGUGCCCACAAGAAGGCCUGUGUUGGUGUCAGUCUGGAAGAUUAGAGAAGCGGGCAGUGCAGAGCGAAGAGGAGACAGCAGUGGCCAGAGGUGAAACACUGAGGUAGCAGCAGAAAUUCAAAGAAAGAUGACCAGGAAAGGACAUAAGACAUUAAUGGAGCUCAUGUGAGGUAUCUAGAGGACCCAAGUGGUGUUUUUAAAAGAAGCUUA